AUCAGAUUAUCAUACUGUACAUGACUACAACCCCAAUGUUGAUCCAAGAGUCAUCAAUGCUUUUUCUACAGCUGCCCUGAGAUAUGGCCAUUCUUCCAUACCCAAUCAAUGGACGUAUAAAGGAGAAAAGGAGAAGGUACCACUAGUUGAAAUGUUCAAUAGUCCAUUCUUUAUUUAUAAAGAUGAAGGAAAGGGUUUAGAUGCUAUAAUUGAGGGGAUGUUAAUUGAUUCGAGCCAAGAUACCGACAAUGUUUUUAGUGAUAGUAUAACGAAUAAAUUAUUUGAAACACUGAAGGUUCCUGGUAUGGACUUAGCUGCUAUCAAUAUACAACGUGGUCGGGAUCACGGUCUGGCACCAUACAAUAAAUACAGAGAAUAUUGUGGUCUGGACCCUAUAGUAUUUGACAAUAGCACGGCACAAAUUAAAGCUCUUGCUUCAGUUUAUAGGAAAGCGGAUGAUGUGGACUUGUUUAUUGGCGGAGUAACAGAAGUUACGGUGACAGGCGGCCAUGUUGGACCAACUUUCGCCUGUAUUAUUGCCGAACAAUUUCAUAAUAUAAAAUAUGGCGAUCGUUUCUGGUUUGAGAAUAUCAAGACCUCAAACCCUUAUUUCUCUGUCAACCCAGCAAGUUUUACCGUUGGUCAAGUGAAUGCAAUCAGACGAAUGAGUAUGGGCCGAAUUUUAUGUGAUUCCACUGAUAUUUCAUAUGUUCCCAGGAAAUCGUUUUUACAUCCAAUGAAUGGUCAACCAACGAAACAUGUUUCGUGUAAAGAUUAUUACAGCCUUCCAGCAUUAGACAUCAGACAGUGGUACCAGCCGUCGCCAAUGUUCGGUUAAAAUUAUCACAGAAUGCUAGUAAUAGACAUUCGG